UACGUAGGGAGCGAGCGUUAUCCGGAUUUAUUGGGCGUAAAGCGCGCGUAGGCGGGCUAUUAAGUCAGGUGUUAAAGCCCGGGGCUCAACCCCGGCCCGCACCUGAAACUGGUAGUCUUGAGUCUGGUAGGGGAAAGUGGAAUUCCCAGUGUAGCGGUGAAAUGCGCAGAUAUUGGGAAGAACACCAGUGGCGAAGGCGGCUUUCUAGGCCACGACUGACGCUGAGGCGCGAAAGCUAGGGGAGCAAACAG
rnacentral:rRNA from 1 species